ACAGCUCAGUUGGUUGGAGCAUGGUGCUGAUAAUGCCAAGGCUGCAGGUGCAAUCCUGUGAGAAGCG